GUAGGUGGCAAGCGUUGUCCGGAAUUAUUGGGCGUAAAGCGCGCGCAGGCGGUUCUUUAAGUCUGAUGUGAAAGCCCACGGCUCAACCGUGGAGGGUCAUUGGAAACUGGAGAACUUGAGUACAGAAGAGGAAAGCGGAAUUCCACGUGUAGCGGUGAAAUGCGUAGAGAUGUGGAGGAACACCAGUGGCGAAGGCGGCUUUCUGGUCUGUAACUGACGCUGAGGCGCGAAAGCGUGGGGAGCAAACAGGGAUUAGAUACCCUGGUAGUCCACGCCGUAAACGAUGAGUGCUAAGGGUUAGGGGGUUUCCCGCCCCUUAGUGCUGCAGCUAACGCAUUAAGCACUCCGCCUGGGGAUACGGCCGCAAGGCUG
rnacentral:rRNA from 1 species